rnacentral:lncRNA from 1 species
GGCUUUCGAGAUUUGGCGCGGCCUUUGUCUCUGGCUGCAGUCGUAGCUCCAGGUCUUUUCUUCUCUGUUCUGUGUCUUCUGCUCCUAGAGGCCCAGCUUCUGUGUCCCUGUGACCUGUAGGUAUUGGGAGAUCCACAGCUAAGAUGCCAGGACCCCCUGGGAAGCCUAGAAAAAUGGUUCUGCCUGCAAAGAAGAUUGUGACAUAUUGCUGGUUGCAACACCACGGUGAUGUUACUUUUUGCCUUCUCACUGCCCUCAGAAGGCAUUGUGAUAUGUUGGUGGUCCCAGCUUCAAAGAAAUGUUCCGUGACUCUCCUGUCUGUGCCCUGCCUACAUGGAUUAUUGUGACAUAUUGCUGGGUCCAACACCCAGGUUCUGCCUGUAGAAAAGAUUGUAACAUAAUGCUGGGCCCAACUUCAAGGUGGCAUUACUUUUUUGACUUGGCCUUGCUCUCAGAAGACAUUAUAACAUACUGCUGGGCCCAGAACCAAGGUGAUGUUAAGUCUUCUGACUAAAACCUACCCACAGAAGACAUUGUGACAUAUCUCUGGGCCCAUCAACUAUUUGAUGUGACUCUACUCUUAUCUGAGUUUUUUUAAUAAAAGAGAUUUUGACAUA